GCAUAUCAAUAAGCGGAGGAAAAGAAACUAACAAGGAUUCCCCUAGUAACUGCGAGUGAAGCGGGAAAAGCUCAAAUUUAAAAUCUGGCAGUCUUUGAUUGUCCGAGUUGUAAUCUAGAGAAGUGUUAUCCGCGUUGGACCGUGUACAAGUCUCCUGGAAUGGAGCGUCAUAGAGGGUGAGAAUCCCGUCUUUGACACGGACUACCAGUGCUUUGUGAUGCGCUCUCAAAGAGUCGAGUUGUUUGGGAAUGCAGCUCAAAAUGGGUGGUAAAUUCCAUCUAAAGCUAAAUAUUGGCGAGAGACCGAUAGCGAACAAGUACCGUGAGGGAAAGAUGAAAAGAACUUUGGAAAGAGAGUUAAACAGUACGUGAAAUUGCUGAAAGGGAAACGCUUGAAGUCAGUCGCGUUGUCCGGGGAUCAACCUUGCUUUUGCUGGGUGUACUUUCCGGUUGACGGGUCAGCAUCAAUUUUGACCGUUGGAUAAAGUGUAGGGGAAUGUGGCAUCUUCGGAUGUGUUAUAGCCUCUGCUCGCAUACAACGGUUGGGAUUGAGGAACUCAGUACGCCGCAAGGCCGGGAAUUUAUUCCACGUUCGUACUUAGGAUGCUGGCAUAAUGGCUUUAAUCGACCCGUCUUGAAACACGGACCAAGGAGUCUAACAUGCCUGCGAGUGUUUGGGUGGAAAACCCGAGCGCGUAAUGAAAGUGAAAGUUGAGAUCCCUGUCGUGGGGAGCAUCGACGCCCGGACCAGACCUUUUGUGACGGAUCUGCGGUAGAGCAUGUAUGUUGGGACCCGAAAGAUGGUGAACUAUGCCUGAAUAGGGUGAAGCCAGAGGAAACUCUGGUGGAGGCUCGUAGCGAUUCUGACGUGCAAAUCGAUCGUCAAAUUUGGGUAUAGGGGCGAAAGACUAAUCGAACCAUCUAGUAAGCUGGGUUCCUGCCGAAGUUUCCCC
rnacentral:rRNA from 1 species